CCAAUAGCGUAUAUUAAAGUUGUUGCAGUUAAAAAGCUCGUAGUUGAAUUUCGGGAUCAAUAUGUUGGUCGUGCCUUGGUACGUACUGGCGUCAUUGGUUUCUACCUUCUGAAGAACCUCGAUGUCAUUAAUUUGGUGUCUUGGGGAAUCAGGACUGUUACUUUGAAAAAAUUAGAGUGUUUAAAGCAAGCUCACGCUUGAAUACAUUAGCAUGGAAUAAUGAAAUAGGACGUUUGAUUCUAUUUUGUUGGUUUCUAGGAUCGACGUAAUGAUUAAUAGGGAUAGUUGGGGGCAUUAGUAUUCAAUUGUCAGAGGUGAAAGUCUUGGAUUUAUUGAAGACUAACUACUGCGAAAGCAUUUGCCAAGGAUGUUUUCAUUAAUCAAGAACGAAAGUUAGGGGAUCGAAGACGAUCAGAUACCGUCGUAGUCUUAACCAUAAACUAUGCCGACUAGGGAUCGGAUGAUGUUAAUUUUUUAAUGACUCAUUCGGCGCCUUACG
rnacentral:rRNA from 1 species